rnacentral:rRNA from 1 species
CAUAUGCCGAGAGGUGAAAUGAGAAAUCGCCUGAGGAUGAGCUCGCGUCUGAUUAGCUAGUUGGUGGGGUAAGAGCCUACCAAGGCAUCGAUCAGUAGCUGGUCUGAGAGGAUGAUCAGCCACACUGGGACUGAGACACGGCCCAGACUCCUACGGGAGGCAGCAGUGGGGAAUUUUCCGCAAUGGGCGAAAGCCUGACGGAGCAACGCCGCGUGAGGGAUGAAGGCCUCUGGGCUGUAAACCUCUUUUAUCAAGGAAGAAGAUCUGACGGUACUUGAUGAAUAAGCCACGGCUAAUUCCGUGCCAGCAGCCGCGGUAAUACGGGAGUGGCAAGCGUUAUCCGGAAUUAUUGGGCGUAAAGCGUCCGCAGGCGGCCUUUUAAGUCUGUUGUCAAAGCGUGGAGCUUAACUCCAUUUCGGCAAUGGAAACUGGGAGGCUUGAGUGUGGUAGGGGCAGAGGGAAUUCCCGGUGUAGCGGUGAAAUGCGUAGAUAUCGGGAAGAACACCAGUGGCGAAGGCGCUCUGCUGGGCCAUAACUGACGCUCAUGGACGAAAGCCAGGGGAGCGAAAGGGAUUAGAUACCCCUGUAGUCCUGGCCGUAAACGAUGAACACUAGGUGUCGGGGGAAUCGACCCCCUCGGUGUCGUAGCCAACGCGUUAAGUGUUCCGCCUGGGGAGUACGCACGCAAGUGUGAAACUCAAAGGAAUUGACGGGGGCCCGCACAAGCGGUGGAGUAUGUGGUUUAAUUCGAUGCAACGCGAAGAACCUUACCAGGGUUUGACAUCCUGCGAACCCCUUGGAAACGAGGGGGUGCCUUCGGGAGCGCAGUGACAGGUGGUGCAUGGCUGUCGUCAGCUCGUGUCGUGAGAUGUUGGGUUAAGUCCCGCAACGAGCGCAACCCACGUCUUUAGUUGCCAGCAUUCAGUUGGGCACUCUAGAGAGACCGCCGGUGAUAAACCGGAGGAAGGUGUGGAUGACGUCAAGUCAUCAUGCCCCUUACAUCCUGGGCUACACACGUACUACAAUGCUACGGACAAAGGGCAGCAAACUCGCGAGAGCUAGCAAAUCCCAUAAACCGUGGCUCAGUUCAGAUCGUAGGCUGCAACUCGCCUACGUGAAGGAGGAAUCGCUAGUAAUCGCAGGUCAGCAUACUGCGGUGAAUACGUUCCCGGGCCUUGUACACACCGCCCGUCACACCAUGGAAGUUGGCCACGCCCGAAGCCGUUACUCCAACCCUUGUGGAGGAGGACGUCGAAGGUGGGGCUGAUGACUGGGGUGAAGUCGUAACAAGGUAGCCGUACCGGAAGGUGCGGCUGGAUCACCUCCUAACAGGGAGACAAACCUAAUCAUGAUGUCUGAGUUUUUUAGUCUUAGGCCAUGAUUCUGUCACCUUAGGUCGAUCGGUACCUCAAGGAACAAGCCAGGGAGACUGAGCAAUCAGAGGAGCCUGGCGAGUUUUUUCAGUUCUUAAACGUUGUCUAGGUCACCCCAUGGCUCCUGGGCCAUUAGCUCAGGUGGUUAGAGCGCACCCCUGAUAAGGGUGAGGUCCCUGGUUCAAGUCCAGGAUGGCCCAUGCACAGCCUGGUGAGCAGGCAGGACUUGAAAGCUGGGGGUUUAGCUCAGUUGGUAGAGCGCCUGCUUUGCAAGCAGGAUGUCAGCGGUUCGAGUCCGCUAACCUCCAUCGCAACGCAAGAGCCCACAAGCGCAAGCGCCAGAAGCGCAAGCGGAGGAGGUAGGGAGUGACCGAGACGGGGAGCAAGACGGGAACGAGAGGAGCUGAGGACGAUUCCAGCCUUCAGGAUUCAAGCGAUCAACUGCCAAAGAAGCAGGAAAGCGUUUGAGUGUUGAAUGCUGGACUCACACCCACCGAGAGCUGUUGAAACGGUGAUGGGUNGGGUGAUUGGUUCAGCGUCGAACCUUGACAACUGCAUAGGUGAGUCUGGAAAGAAAGCAUCUCAUGGAUGACCAGUGAAAACUGGAAAUUCUAUGACGUAAAGAGCCGAGGCUUUCCAGCGUUCUUCCAAAGCUUUGGCCAAUCCAGCCAAAGGGAGGGAGUUUGAUUUUGCGAUUCAAACCGUGAUGAUGCUGUGAUGAGCAGUGUGAUCAGCAGGUGAAUGCAAAAGAAGCGGCCGCAACAGCCG